CCUACGGGAGGCAGCAGUAGGGAAUCUUUCACAAUGGGCGAAAGCCUGAUGAGCAACGCCGCGUGCAGGAUGAAGGCCUUCGGGAUGUAAACUGCUUUUAUAAGCGAGAAAUAUUAUGGUAACUUAUGAAUAAGGAUCGGCUAAACACGUGCCAGAAGCCGCGGUCAUACGUAGGAUCCGAGCAUUUUCCGGGGUGACCGGGUGUAAAGAGUUGCGUAGGUGGGAUAAGAAGUAGCUAGUGAAAUCUGGUGGCUCAACCAUUCAGACUAUUUGCUAAACUGUUAAGCUCGAGACCGUUAGGGGUAACUGGAAUUUCUAGUGUAGGAGUAAAAUCCGUAGAGAUUAGAAGGAACACCAAUAGCGUAGGCAGGUUGCUAGGACGGUUCUGACACUAAGGCGCGAAAGCGUAGGGAGCAAACGGGAUUAGAUACCCCAGUAGUC
rnacentral:rRNA from 1 species